GAUGAACGCUGGCGGCGUGCCUAAUACAUGCAAGUCGAGCGAACAGACGAGGAGCUUGCUCCUCUGACGUUAGCGGCGGACGGGUGAGUAACACGUGGAUAACCUACCUAUAAGACUGGGAUAACUUUGGGAAACCGGAGCUAAUACCGGAUAAUAUAUUGAACCGCAUGGUUCAAUAGUGAAAGACGGUUUUGCUGUCACUUAUAGAUGGAUCCGCGCCGCAUUAGCUAGUUGGUAAGGUAACGGCUUACCAAGGCGACGAUGCGUAGCCGACCUGAGAGGGUGAUCGGCCGCACUGGAACUGAGACACGGUCCAGACUCCUACGGGAGGCAGCAGUAGGGAAUCUUCCGCAAUGGGCGAAAGCCUGACGGAGCAACGCCGCGUGAGUGAUGAAGGUCUUCGGAUCGUAAAACUCUGUUAUUAGGGAAGAACAAAUGUGUAAGUAACUAUGCACGUCUUGACGGUACCUAAUCAGAAAGCCACGGCUAACUACGUG
rnacentral:rRNA from 1 species